rnacentral:rRNA from 1 species
GACGAACGCUGGCGGCGUGCUUAACACAUGCAAGUCGAACGGAAAGGCCCUGCUCUUGUGGGGUGCUCGAGUGGCGAACGGGUGAGUAACACGCGUGUAACCUGUCCUUGACUGUGGGAUAACAUCAGGAAACAGGGGAUAAUACCGGGGAGGAGAUCCUGCUGCAUGGGGGGGGAUGGAAAGAUUCGGCUGUUGGGGAUGGUCUCGCGGCUUAUCAGCUGGUUGGUGGGGUAGUGACUUACCAAGGUUGUGACGGAUAGCCCGCCUUGGAGCGUGGCCGGCCACAUUAGGCCUGCGGGACGCCGCAGUCUCCAACGGGAGGCAACGGUCGGGAGUCUUACGCAGUAGGGCGGAGCGAGUGGCGACAGCGCCGCGUGCGUGAUGACGUCCUUCGGGUGAUGAACCGCUUUCUCAUGUAACGAGGCCUGAGUGACGGUAAUGGGUAAGGAAGCACCGGCUAACUACGUA